UCCAAGAACAAAAUAAAAGU
rnacentral:piRNA from 1 species